rnacentral:lncRNA from 1 species
CGGGUCUUUCUUUUCUGCUGCUGCUGCCUAGGGCUAGCUAGGCCUCCAUGGCAUGGCGGUAGCAUCUAGCCUCAUUACUCGGCUGCUCGUAAAGGUUAGCCGCGUAAACUAAUUUCAUGGAUAGUUCAUUCUAUGAUUUGAUUUCGUAUAGGUUAAAUUUGUGUACGAGCGAGCACAAGGACACGAGGGCGUGAUACGCGGAUCUGGCGCGAUCACGUGAGACUGAGACCGGACCGACGCGCCGGAGAAACGGAAGAACGCGCGGCACGCUCGUCCGUCCGUCUGGCCAAAUACAGGCUCACUAGGUUUUCACUGCAUAUCACACUGAAUUCGUGGUUUAAGAGCGGCUCUGGCGGAUGUGCCGUACUACGUGGCCCGAUCGCCGUAAUAAUAAACCGCCGGCAGCACGACUAUCAGCACCACAAAACGUCACUGCAGUAGAGUCGUCGUGCGAUCGUCAAAAUUUAUAAAUCUUGCUCCGAAACGAAACUGUAGCGUCCAAGUAGCCUUGUUCGGAGCUCGCUCGCUCUAAACCCCAUCGUCAGCGUGGAUGGAAACUUUUGCUUUCUUCCUCCUCGCGUCAUGGUCGGAUUUUGAAGCUCUCCACUGCCCAUACAGCAUGGAUUGAAUCUUUUGUGUAAUUUUUUCUCAGGACAGCUAGGAAGGUCUACUACUACAAGGUUCGCCGGGUUCUCACGAGGGAUGGGUGAUGACGAAGGCGUGCCUUCGGCUCGUAUCAGUGUUUGUAGUCGUCGCUGGGAUCUACGGACAUAGAUGCAAUUUAUAAUAUUUUUUGUGUACUUUAUACUAUCAUGAUAUUUGAUGAAUAAAUUGAAAAUUUCUUCGUAAAAAAUGAAAGGUCCAGAUUCAGAAUCCAAGGGACCUUCAACGACUUGAACUAGUCGUGGG